rnacentral:ncRNA from 19 species
GAUACAGUCGCCAGUGACAGUAUUCAUAACACAGCCGUUGUUUUGAAAGGAAUAUGGUGCGGAUUAUUUUAAUCUCAUUCCAUAGCUGCCCCCGCAACUGUAGGCGGAUACCGAAUAUCUGCGUGUGGUUAUUGUAACCACCGGUCACUGUAAAGAUUUGCUUUAUGGGAAGGCCGAUAUUCUGAUUACCGUGAGCCAGGAGACCUGCUGUCAGGGUUGUACACAUU